AUGUCCGUGUGUGAUGCCUGUCAGCAAGGCAAGAGUCAUCAGCUACCUUUUGUUUCAUCUACUAGAGAAGUAAAGAACCCUCUUGAAAUUGUGUUUUCUGAUGUGUGGGGUCAGCACAAACAUCUGUUAGUGGUCACAACUAUUAUGUCAGUUUUGUUGAUGCCUAUAGUCGCUUCACUUGGCUUUAUCUUCUUAAGCGCAAAUCUGAUGUGUUUGAUAUAUUCAUACAGUUUCAAUUGCAUGUUGAACGUCUACUCAAGCAUAAAAUUAUCCAUGUUCAAUCAGAUUGGGGGGCGAAUAUCGCAACCUCAACACCUUCUUUAA
rnacentral:rRNA from 1 species